GCCAGUGGUGCAGUGGGUCAGUGCAUCUUGCUAUUAACCAGAAGGUUGGUGGUUCAAGACCACCCAGGGACA
rnacentral:tRNA from 1 species